UAAAGGAACCCGCCAAGGGGCCUCCCACAGCUGGAGGGUCGGGCUGGCAGGACUAUGGCCCAAGGCACAGUGAUCCACGUGGCCCUCGAGCAGCCCACCUAUGCCGUGUGUGUCCUGGGCACCGAAGCUCAGCUGGAUGUCUACAGCUCCGCCCCCACGGGCUGCACGUCCUUCAGCGUCAGUGCCUCCCCAGGAGUGGUCGUGGAUGUUGCCCACGGCCCCCCGACCAAGAAGAAACCCACGGGCUCCUCCAAGUGGUCGCUGGACCCGAGCCUGGAGGUGAGCCUGAGGAUGAGAGCCGCCAGCGUCAGCACAGGUGACCAAAAGGUUCAAAUUUCAUACUAUGGACCCAAGACCAGCCCGGUCCAAGCCCUGCUCUAUGUCACUGGUGUCGAAAUCUCCUUGAGCACGGACAUCACCCGCACCGGCAAAGUGAAGCCUGCAGGAGCCCCGAAAGGCCAGAGGACCUGGACCUGGGGCCCCCGCGGGCAGGGCGCCAUCCUGCUGGUAAACUGCGACAAAGACAAUCCCAAAUCUUCCACCGUAGACUGCAGGGAUGAUGAGGUGCUUGUCAGCGAAGACCUGCAGGACAUGUCCCUGGUGACCCUGAACACGAAGACCCCCAGGGACUUCUUCGCCACGCACCGUCUGCUCCUCCACGUGGCCAAGUCGGAGAUGGACAAAGUCCGGGUGUUCCAAGCCAGCCGAGGCAAACAGAUCUCUAGAUACAGGGCGGUGCUGGGGCCAGAGCAGCCCUGUCACCCCCUGGAACUCCCGGGUGGCCAGCACAGCACAGAUUUCUAUGUGGAGGGCCUCGCUUUCCCAGACGCCAACUUCCCGGGGCUCAUUUCUCUCACCGUCUCCCUGCUGGACACGUCCAACCCGGAGCUGCCCAAUACCCUGAUUUUCCAAGACAGUGUUGUCUUCCGUGUGGCCCCCUGGAUCAUGACCCCCAACACCCAGCCCCCUGAGGAGGUGUACGUGUGCAGGAUGUUCGAAAAUGAGGACUUCCUGAAGUCAUUGACUGAGCUGACCAAGGAAGCCAAGUGCAAGCUGACCGUCUGCACCAUGGAGCAGAACAUGGAGGACCGGUGGAUGCAGGAUGAAAUGGAGGUCGGCUAUAUCCAAGCGCCGCACAAGACACUGCCUGUUGUCUUCGACUCUCCAAGGAACAGAGGCUUGAAGGAAUUCCCCAUCAAAUGUGUGCUGGGUCCAGAUUUCGGCUACGUGACUCGAGGGCCCCAAACAGGAGAGGUUUCUGACCUUGACUCCUUUGGAAACCUGGAAGUGAGCCCCCCGGUCAAGGUUGGGAGGAAGAAAUACCCUCUGGGCAGGAUCCUCAUUGGGAGCAGCUGCUACCCCAGCAGUGAGAGCCAGGAGAUGCACCAGGCCCUGCAGGAUUUCCUCAGCGCCCAGCAGGUGCAGGCGCCCGUGAAGCUCUACUCCGACUGGCUGUUUGUGGGCCACGUGGACGAGUUCCUGAGCUUCGUCCCCGCGCACAAGAAGGGCUUCCGGCUGCUCCUGGCCAGCCCCCGCUCCUGCUACAAACUAUUCCAGGAGCUGCUCCAGGAGGGCCACGGCGAGGCUCUGCUGUUCGAAGGGGUCAAGAGAAAAAAACAGAAAAUAAAGGACAUUCUGUCCAACGAGAAAUUGAGAGAAGAUAAUUCGUACGUGGAGAAAUGCAUCGACUGGAACCGGGAGGUGCUGAAGCGGGAGCUGGGCCUGGCCGAGCGGGACAUCGUGGACCUCCCCCAACUCUUCAAGCUCCAUGACGACCUCAGAGGGAACCUCAAGGCCGAAGCCUAUUUCCCAAACAUGGUGAACAUGCUGGUGCUGGGGAAGCACCUGGGCAUCCCCAAGCCCUUCGGGCCCAUCAUCAACGGGCGCUGCUGCCUGGAGGAGAAGGUGCGGUCCCUGCUGGAGCCGCUGGGCCUGCACUGCACCUUCAUUGACGACUUCUACGCCUACCACGUGCGGCACGGGGAGGUGCACUGCGGCACCAACGUGCGCCGGCAGCCCUUCUCCUUCAAGUGGUGGCACAUGGUGCCCUGAGCCCUUCCCCUGCUGCUGUCCUGGCCAGAGGCUCCGGUCCCCUGCAGUGUGCCAUCGCAAGAGCUCUUAGGGACAUUCUGGCUCCCUGGGCAUGGCGCCCUCCUGGCAGCAGCUCGCUUCCUUCUGCUGUGCCCUGGCCCCUUAGCACCACUCCGAAGAUCCCAAGAUAUUCCUGGCAUUGCAGACACCACUCUAUUGUGAGACGCUGCAAUAAAGUUUCAUAAUCGCUUUCUCCUCUUGGAGGACUGCCUGUGGCCACUUGGGAAGAGGACCGGAAGUGGACAAACAGGAGAGUUUACAUCUCCCAGGCAGCCAGAGCCAUGAAGGAAGGGGGCCAAGCG